UGGAACCGGAUUUCUUUUCUUGUUGCUCCAA
rnacentral:piRNA from 1 species